GGGGUUUUAGUUUAAUGGUAUAGCUCAUGUUUUACAUGCAGGAUGUACCAGGUUCAAUUCUCGGCAAUUCCA